UACGUAGGUGGCAAGCGUUAUCCGGAAUUACUGGGCGUAAAGCGCACGCAGGCGGCGCGGCAAGUUCGACGUGAAAGCUCCCGGCUUAACUGGGAGAGGUCGUUGAAGACUGCUGUGCUUGAGGCAAUGAGAGGGGUGUAGAAUUCCCGGUGUAGUGGUGGAAUGCGUAGAUAUCGGGGGGAAUACCAGUGGCGAAAGCGGCACCCUAGCAUUAGCCUGACGCUCAUGUGCGAAAGCGUGGGGAGCGAACGGG
rnacentral:rRNA from 1 species